UUCCUGUUUGUUUAUCCAUUUGAAUUAAAGCAAAACCAGGAUGUGUUCAAAAUAUCGUGAUAGAACCCUUGCUCACACAAUGACUUCUUUUUAAAAUCAUUCAUUUUUUUUAUGAUAUUGUGAUUGCAUGAAUCAACCAGUGCAGCAUUUACUUUACAUCUUAGCCUAGUAACGUUAGUUAUUCAUAUUAUAAUAUGUAGUUUGGUGAGCUAUUAUUUUUUGAUUUGUUCUUCUCUUUCUCUGCAGAUUCCUUAAUCCCUGUCCUUUAAAAAAAAAAAAAAAAACAGCGCCUCAUUACAUUAAAAAGGCACUUUUAAGAGCCACAUUUGUCUUGUUUAUUGUCUUAUUUGUAUUUUUUUUAUUGUCUUGUUUUUUCUCUCUAUCUCUCUCUCUCUCUCUUUCUCACACUCUCUCUCCAUCCCUGACUCUCUCCUCUACCAUCUGAGUGGUGGUUGCUUUUUAGAGGGACGGAGGAACUGGGUUGCUGCCUCUUCUUCAGUCACUUUAAUCAACUGAAAGUGUAAAGGUCUGGAUCAAAGAAUAUAGAUUAAUUUGUUGGUGUUGUUUUAAGUGCACAAUAUACCAAUUUAAUGGUUAGAGACUGGCAUAUAAUACCUGAUUAUUGCACCAAAUUAAAUUUGCAGCAGUCUGCACAAUAUAGACUAACCUAUAAGAUAAUAUUGCAUGAAGUCUAAGUAAAUCAAACUUAAGUUUUGUGAGGAAUGCCGGUAUUCAAAGAAUUUUUAUGACUACAGGAAAGCAAACAGCUCGCUUGGCAUCUUUAUGCUUCAGAGUUUUUCUGCACUUAAAUAAUUUACCAGCUUAAUUUACUGCUGUAUGACACAUGCUAAUAGAUUGACUAGCUCUGUCUUUCUUGUACUCAUGUGUGUUUGGAUCCCUGUCUGAUAUUUAAUAUUUAUAUUUUUUAUAUGGGUGUACAUUUCAGAAUGACGAAGCCAAAAUUCAGGCCUUGCCCAAGCUGCCAGGUCCGUCAGCAGGCUAACCGCAAAACCUGCAGUGCUUGUUUUGCCACACUGCCAAGCAAGCGGUUAUUGAAAACUGCAAAAAUUAAUGAUGAAUGGGGCCAGAGGGUCAUCAAAAACAAAAAUGCAUCUCGGGUGGUGGCCUCUGCCCAAAUAGCUGUAAGUAAAAAUGCUCAUGCUUCAUUUAUUGAGUGAUAAUCAAUAUUAAGCCUAAAGUACAUACAAUAUUUGGUACCAUGUUUGUUGAUGGACAGAAGACAUAGCAUUCAAGUUGCUAUGAUAAACAGUUUGCCAAAAAGCUCCCCAUACACAAUAUGUAAAGAAACUUUAAUUUUAUGCAGGUGUACUUCUGUUGUGAAAAAAAAUAUUGAAAAUGCAUUGGUGUAUGUACAUAAGUAGGCAAUAUUCUAGCCUAUACUUAUCUUAAAAUACUUGUGUAACUGAUGGCAGGGACUAGGGAUAGGGAUGAACUAUGAAUCAAGUAGUACACCAAGUAAACUGCCCUCUGUUUCUGAUUCAAAGUCAGUGUGGAGUAGACGCCAUCUUCAAUACUGUCACAUCAUCUGAUUAAUUAUUUUCAAACAAAAUCGAGUACUGACAGUUACAAUUUAAGAAAUACUCAUGAAUUAAUAUUUGUUUAUUAAUUUUACAAUAUGCCUUUAAUCAUCACAUACUUAACACUUUUUGAAAUCGUUAACAAAUAUUAUUUUGCCAUAUCAGGUCUUUAAAUAGUAAAUGGACUGCCAUAUAUGUAGUAAUGUAGCAACAAAAUAUAUUGGAAAUGUGUUAAUUACUUUGUUUCAUUUCAGGUCCAAAAACUUUCUGCUUUGGGCUAUAUGCCCAUAUUAUUUAUCAGCCAGAGGCACAAGGGCACAGGCAAGAUGAUGGCAGAUGUAGUAACGCAUCUGCCAUCGACGGUAAACAACACGCGUUUCUUAACCAGCAUGAAGAGGGCAUAUGACUUCAUGAUCAAACUGGAUGGUAAGAUAAGUUUUAUGUAUAGUUCAUUAGUGUUUGUCGUUGAUUUCUUUCACAAUUUGUACUGAAGUCAUAUUUUUGCUAUCUUCACAACAGAUGUGCCCCAGCCCCAUCAAGACCAGCCCCUAGACCAGCCCCAGCAAGACCAGCCCCUAGACCAGCCCCAGCAAGACCAGCCACAGCAAAACCAGCCCCUAGACCAGCUAAUCCCACAAGACCAGCAACUGAUUACACUUGAUCUAUGUACAAUCGUCUCUCAGGCUCAGCAGCAUGUGGAGCCUCUACCACCAAGGAAAAAACAAAGUAAGCUUGCAUUCCACCACAUCUGUAAAUUUGUCCUAUGUUUUUUUUUUGCAAUUACUGCACAAUAUAAAACAAGUUACAAAUGGGGAAUUUCACCUCUUUUAAUUAAUUAAGCCACUCCUCCAAGAUACUGAUUAUAAAAUUCCCAACCUUUUUCCCUUGCACCUUAAGCCCCACCAUCCAGCCCAGGCCAAGACAGACAAGCCCCACUAUCCAUCCAACCUCAUCUAAAGAAAAGACAAACCACAGGUACAGGAGCCAGACAAGCCCCACCCUCGACCCUGGCCAAAAAGAAGAAAACAAAAAGCAAGUAGACAUUAUUUGCACCCCAUGUGUAUAUUUGUUUCUAUUCUUUGUACCCCAUGUGUAUAUCAUGGGGUGUAAAGUUGUUUCUGCAUGUAGCCCCCUUUUAAUUGGACCAAACUCAGGGUGCAUUCACACUUGGUCUCUUUCAGCCCUCAAAGUGAACUAAGAACAGUGAUUCAUAUAUGAACACCUCCAUCAAACUCAGACCCAUUUGAAGUGAACCAAAGUUUUUUUUUUUUUGCCUUUGUCAUUUAAGGUUGCAAAUGCAGUCUACAGACAAUUUAUCCAUACGAUAAAAUAUUGGAAAGACGGAUGAAUGGGGUAAGAUGUAGAACCAUAUUUUUCAUUAGGCUGUCUGAUUAUCUCAUAUUGUCUCAUCUUUCAAUCCAAAUGUGACAAAACAGAAACUGAGCAGUAGGUAUCAAACUUUUUCAACUAUCAACCCUCUCACAAGA